UUGCUCGUCCGGCAGUGGACCGUUGUCUGCAGACCUUCACAGAAAAAACACGUAUUUUAUAGUCAACCCGAGUCACGUAUGUUUAUACUUUAUUUUUUAUUUACUUGUUUAUUUAUGUUCUUCUCCCUUGAGGGAAAAAGGCUCACAGCAUGUGGUUAGGACUGUGAUUACGGUUUUCCCCACUGUACAGCACUUAGUGAUUGAUUAUUCGAUUCACGAGCAAGAUUUUCAAGAUUGAAGUUAUGUCGUGAAUCGGAGUUGGGAUAGCAACCACACGAAUAGCUGAUAAAGAAUCACUUGGAGGGUGCAACAUAUCCACAGAAUGAAUUAUUUAAAAUUCACUUUAUUAAAACAUGUGCAAUAAAAAGGUGUUUUCUUUAAAUCUUGAUCGGAUUUCAACGUCAAAGAACUCUCUGAAGGCCAUGUGUAUGUGUUCUUGCUAGUCCUCAAAUUCACCUUGACUAUGAAUAAUAAAAUUAACUAACCGCACUCACUUUACUUUUCGCAUGUAGCCCGGGAAUUUGUGGUUCAAUUUAGUUCGGCUGACACAAUAUACGCACGAGUUCCCAGUCUGCUUUGUUACGUCUUAUUUCCUGUCAAAUAAGAAAAUUUGUCAAUCACAUCAGCCUGUACUAUUCGUUGGUAAAUCUAUUAUUAAACGUCCCCACAGAUAAAACGUAUAUCCGACGUAAUUUUCACCGCAAUGAUAACGCUAUUGUUUUUGUUGGAAUCGAAUGGCGUAAAGUUGUCAGCUUCUACACGGAUCUCAGAAGUUGUGAAACCAAACAAACGGGGAAAACCGGUUUCGUUCAGCUCGAGUACGAAUUCUGCCAGAGCCAUUUUAUUGAGUCAAUAAUGUUCAUUGAAAUGUGUGGCUAGGUUUUUCCAUCAGACUGUGUUCGUGCAACUCCUCUGGUAACCUGAAAAGUUUUUUCCCGUUUAACUGCAAUCGCAUGUGGCAAGUUACCAAAAACUACGGAGAUUAUAUCGGUAAAUGAACUUGUUGUGUUUGGAAACAUAACACUGUAAAAUAAACUAGCGUUUGACGUGAACAAAUCGUUUCAACUGUUGACUUGCAGCAGAUAAUUUCUAACGGAAAACUUGGGGAGAACACUCCUUGUGUUUGUGCUGAACAUGCAGCAAGAAAGGGGUUCCUUUACUUAAAAGUGUAGUAAAUGAUAAUCUCUACCUAUAAAAUGGUUAAUUCCCACAAAUUAAGGAAAAAGGACUUCAU